rnacentral:rRNA from 1 species
UACCUAGGGUGCGAGCGUUGUCCGGAAUUAUUGGGCGUAAAGGGCUCGUAGGCGGUUUGUCGCGUCGGGAGUGAAAACUCAGGGCUUAACCCUGAGCCUGCUUCCGAUACGGGCAGACUAGAGGUAUGCAGGGGAGAACGGAAUUCCUGGUGUAGCGGUGAAAUGCGCAGAUAUCAGGAGGAACACCGGUGGCGAAGGCGGUUCUCUGGGCAUUACCUGACGCUGAGGAGCGAAAGUGUGGGGAGCGAACAGG